UACGAAGGGGGCUAGCGUUGUUCGGAAUUACUGGGCGUAAAGCGCGCGCAGGCGGUCUUUCAAGUCAGUGGUGAAAGCCUGGAGCUCAACUCCAGAACUGCCAUUGAAACUGCAAGACUUGAGUACGAGAGAGGUGAGUGGAAUUCCCAGUGUAGAGGUGAAAUUCGUAGAUAUCGGGAGGAACACCUGUGGCGAAGGCGGCCAUCUGGACAACUACUGACACUGAGACGCGAAAGCGUGGGUAGCAAACAGG
rnacentral:rRNA from 1 species